ACAAACUUGGUCAUUUAGAGGAAGUAAAAGUCGUAACAAGGUCUCCGUUGGUGAACCAGCGGAGGGAUCAUUACAAAAAGAGUAGAAAUACUCGCAAACCCCAUGUGAACCGUACUUGUUGUUACACGUUGCCCUGGCAGGCAGCUUCUCUCGGGAGGAGCAACUGGGCUUCGGCCCGUCGGCCGCCAGGGAGACGAAACCCAAACUCUUGUUGCAAACGCAGUGGCACAUCCGAGUCAAACAAAAAACAAGUUAAAACUUUCAACAACGGAUCUCUUGGUUCUGGCAUCGAUGAAGAACGCAGC
rnacentral:misc_RNA from 1 species